ensembl:lncRNA
ACAUUGUAUUAACCUUGCCUUUCAUCUAUGUUUUAAAGGGAAAUUCUCCAGAGGCGUCCAUUGAAGUUCUGUUUUUUUAAAUAUAAAGUGUAUCAAAGACUUUUAGGAGCCCAGGUGUGUGUUUAUCUGACUAUCUUUCAAAAAGCUGCUUCAGAGACUGCAAAAAGAUGUAUGUUCAGGAAUCUAUUUCAGGCAUUCUUACCAGCCAGCUAGUUACCCGACCCCUACUCCCUUCCCUGGCUUCCCGGCCCCCCACUCCCCCUUGCUGCUUCGAAACAAAAUAGCUUCUUUCCAAGCAGGUUGUUAUCAUAUUCAUGGCAUGGUCAAUUUCCGUUUGCCAAGAAAAUAUUUAGGCUGAUCAAAGACAUUAGAAAAUCGGAUGAAUAGAAACAGACGUUCCCACAAGAGAAGCGUUUCUCAACGUGAAGAGGCAGGCGGAUUGCAGCCCACCCAGUUACUCCUAGGAAAUAGCUCUCCUGCUAAAGGCAGAACUAUGGGGCCACCUGGAUUCUACCGGAAGGGCUAUGGAAGAGUCCGGAAAUUCACGUGGAGACUGGAGCUUGGGACUCUCCGAUGGCGGACAUGUGAGAUGAUCGGUUCUAGUAUCUAUCAGCAAACCUAGAAGGCCUUUAAUUACAUCCAUUAACACAGAGGGACCUUUCAAGACUGAAGAUACAGUGUGCGCCCAGGUCAGUCGAUGAAAGAAAGAGGGCCUUCCACCUCCUCCUUGUUCCUCGGCAAGACGCAGCCAAACCAGGGUGACUUUGGGCCUGGAAAAUGGGGAGAAAACAGAGUAGCGAAAGGCGUUCGGGUGCCGGCUCCCAGCGCGCAGACGCCUUGCUCGCCCCAGCAGCCCAGCCUGCAGUGGUAGCCACGCUGUGCGCGUGUCUCUUUCC